CGGGAAAAGCUCAAAUUUCAAAUCUGGCGAUCCCGUCGCCCGAGUUGUAUUCUGGAGAAGCGUCUUCUGCGCCGGACCGUGUACAAGUCCCUUGGAACAGGGCGUCGUAGAGGGUGAGAAUCCCGUCUUUGACACGGACCCCCGGUGCUAUGUGAUGCGCUCUCGA
rnacentral:rRNA from 1 species